GGAUAAUAAGAAAGCGGGCAUUAUCAACAACAAUAUAAUAAAUGUUUUUUAAUUAUGCGACUUGCUUUAUUAGAUAGGUCCGAUUUGAAUUUUGUUUAUUUUUCAAAACUGAAAAAAAAUUAAGGUGUCGCAUAAGGCGACGUACUGCGUAGUUAUAUUCUAUUCCAAUUGAUUUUCUAUAAAUUCAUUAGAUGCCUGAGGCAAAGUGAAUGUACACACCUUGGAAAGCUUUUAUAAGCCGGAACAAAAGAAAACUAGGAUGAAGUUUUGAGUCCAAUAACUUUUUGUAACUUGAAUGUGAAUGGUGACAUUCAGACCUAAAGUAUAAAUCAUUGGAUUUGGGUAUAAAGCAUAUUUCACACGUUGAGGCGAGACAUCC
rnacentral:lncRNA from 1 species